GAGCUUUCUUGGAUAGAGCAUCUUCAAAACGUAGAAUGGGAACAUUCCUUGAUCGUCUUGGUGGUGUUUCAACACAAAACUCAGUGCAGAAUGUCUUAGAAAUGUUCCAAAAGGCAAGAAAACGAAUGUUAGCAGCCAGACAGACACUAAAUACUAUUGAAUGAAGACCUUAUCUGCAAUUGCUUCUCUCCAAUCUGAAGUUAAGGAAAUACUGUACAUGGUUGGGUUGCAUGCUACUGCUCUGAAUAUGGCUGAAACUCUAGAACCAAAUGUGAACUGAUUGAGUAAAGUGUAAUAAUGCUUUCAUGAACAUAUUACAUUGAAGCAGAAGUGAGUGAUUCAGUGGUAAGGCUCUUGGUUACCUUUAUCUACCUGUAUUGCUACUUUCCACAAAGGUGUGUACUUGGUGGGGUUGAAUGCUACUGCGCAGAAUGGCUGUAAUAGAACAGAGCAUUGUCGACCAAGUGACCAGGUGCAAUAAUAUCCUAUGCAUUGAACAUUUAUUAAAUAAGAGAUGUGUAAACUAACUAGAUUACACUACAGAAGUGGUAAUGAUGAUAACAAUAGAAUCGUAAUUAAUGUGAUAAUAAUAAUAAUUCUAAUAAUAAUAGUAUGAUAUUAAUAAUAAUAAUUAUAAUAAUAAUCUGUGCAUUAAUUGCGUCCCUAAUUAGGAACAAUUUUACGGUAAUUUCCAAAUGUUGGAUAAGAACUAAAUUCCAUUUUAAGUCUUUAUUUUUUAUUUUUUUUUAAACAAACUACUGAAUUUGUUAAAAGAGAUUGUAAUUUAUAAUAAUUAUAAUAAUAAUCUGUGCAUUAAUAGCAUUUUAUGAAGGUGUUAUGAACUGCAUAAGGCAUCUGCAGGAUCCCACAACGGUUAUGGAAAACAUUUUUUUUAAAUGGUGUAUUUUGAGGGCCAACUGACUUCACAAGGAAGUCUAUGUAAAAGAUAAGGAGCAGCAGGUAUUUGAAAAGUUGAUUUUAUUCACUCUUGUGGUAAUGAUUUAAAUGAGGAGGAAGGGAUUUUUAGAUGUAUUUUGUCAGUAAUUUACCUAAAGUUAUAGCUUUAUACAUCGAUCAAUACUAAGCCAGCGGUAACAUCCGUACUGUAUAAAUAAGGCUAUAACAUGCAUACUUUAUAACUAAAUUUGCAGAAAUAUUUUGGACUUGGCUUCCAAUAUUUGUUUUAUUUUAUUUAUUUUUUUAAUACUAUGAAUACCGAAAAUUAAAUUGGAUAUUCUUUGUAUACAAAUGAUAAACUAAGAUCUAAACACUAUACUGCUCCACCGUCACAAAAGGAAGUAACUGGCAAUUUUUCAAAAAAUAUUUUUUUAAAUUUAGUAUCAAAGAACUCCCUGGCAAGAAAACUAUUGAAUUAAAUAUAAUGUUACUCUAAUUGAUUCAAAAAUUAAACUUUUAUCUUGGCUAGUAAGGUUUAGUUAAAUAUGGUCAGUAAGUCCAGAUUUGCUUGUAUAAAGGAGGCCAUACAGCUUAGAACUCCUUCCAUUCUUUCAAACACUGUUAUUUUUUAAAUUGCUGAAUAAAUAUUAUUAUCAUCUAGA